rnacentral:rRNA from 1 species
UGGGGAAUUUUGGACAAUUGGGCGAAGCCUGAUCCAGCAAUGCCGCGUGUGUGAAGAAGGCCUUCGGGUUGUAAAGCACUUUUGUCCGGAAAGAAAUCCUUGGCUCUAAUACAGUCGGGGGAUGACGGUACCGGAAGAAUAAGCACCGGCUAACUACGUGCCAGCAGCCGCGGUAAUACGUAGGGUGCAAGCGUUAAUCGGAAUUACUGGGCGUAAAGCGUGCGCAGGCGGUUUGCUAAGACCGAUGUGAAAUCCCCGGGCUCAACCUGGGAACUGCAUUGGUGACUGGCAGGCUAGAGUAUGGCAGAGGGGGGUAGAAUUCCACGUGUAGCAGUGAAAUGCGUAGAGAUGUGGAGGAAUACCGAUGGCGAAGGCAGCCCCCUGGGCCAAUACUGACGCUCAUGCACGAAAGCGUGGGGAGCAAACAGGAUUAGAUACCCUGGUAGUCCACGCCCUAAACGAUGUCAACUAGUUGUUGGGGAUUCAUUUCCUUAGUAACGUAGCUAACGCGUGAAGUUGACCGCCUGGGGAGUACGGUCGCAAGAUUAAAACUUCAAAUGAAUUGACGGGGUCAUAGCUGUUUCCU